GUUUUAUCUAGCAAUUUUCCAAUCAACGAAUUAAGAACGUGGGCGCUUGGUAUCCGAUUGAACACGAGCCGACUUUCUAGUAAGUAAAGCAAAAACGCAUUUUCGGCAAAGCGUCAGACCAAAAUGAAAUAAUGGACAAGCCUUAGGGCCCCGUGCACAAACAGCCUUCACCUGCUGUGACGAGGAAUGCCACGCUUGUAUUAGCGCGAGUCUUUUCGACAUCCGCACUGGUGACGAGACGAUAUAUAACGUUGUUCUUACUUGUUUGACGUGUCAUCUUUUGUUUUGGUCUGAUUUGAAAUCGUUGAUACGUAAUUAUACGCAGGAGUAACACUUGAUUGAAGCAAUUCUUUUUGGCACCCGUAUACAGUGGUGCUGAUGGUGACACUGUUAGCUGUUAGCAACAUCACUAACGAAUGCUUUUUUUAUGCUAUUACAAAACUUUGGCUCGUGUAUUAAUCUUUCCAUAGUAGGAGGCUGAACUGGUGCAGAGAAAGGCACACGUGGGCAACGCAACAAAAGAAUACCAUUUCAUUUGCUACAGUGCGCUGAUGAAUAACACUUUCGGGCGACCUAGCACAUGUUAAUUGGCAAAUUAUAAAGCUAGGCUUAAGUAAUGCUAUACCCAUCCUUGUACAUCCCGCUGCCACAGCAUGUCGACCCACUCAACGGAGCAGCUGCCACCGCGGCGGGAAGUCCUUUGCCUUAACAAUAAACUAUACGCUUAGCUCUUCACUUUACUCGGUGCAGAAGACGGGAGGCAAUAUCAAUGCGACUGGUGCAUUAUCAAACUAUUGGCUAUCUAAAAAUAAAAAGGUGACAGCCCUCAAUGUCUGUCUUCUUUCUCCGAUCCAGCAGAGGAGACUACACGGCUUCACCUCACCAAAUGUGUCUAUUCACAAAAGAAAAGAAUUUCUAAUUUGGAAAAAUUGGCUAUUAAGCUAAGAAAAUAUACAAGUUUUCAUAAUGUUUAUUUUUGGUUCUUUAGUUCAUCACAAAUAUUCAAAAAAGCCAGUCAUUUUACUGAACUCAAUACACUUUGGAAAUUUAGCCCAUCACGAGUCGGUCGAGGCCAAUGAAAUCUACAUAUUCCGUGAACAUGGUACUGACGAAACCUAGUUACGUAUAGAUAAACUUGAAAUCAAACAGUGUCUUUUUGGAAUUUCUAUGACGCAACCGUUUUCUUUGUCGUGGAUGCGCUUGGCUUUUAUAGGCUAUACUUUUUUA